GGAAGGAGGAUUUCACCUACUCAGCCGCCUGUCGUCAUCUGUCAACUUUCUACCCAUUCAUCACCUAGCCUGUCACACUUGACAUAAGCUUCUGAAGGGAUGGGCGAAAGGGAGGCAGGAGAGACUGGAUAAAUGUCUUCAUGAUCAUCUUUAGCAAUGUCAGGAGCUCAGCACUCUCAGUAUUUUAGACUUGCCUGUGACAGCUUUUCCACUAGCACUGAAGCUGCAUUCCAAAUUGAUAUUUGUGGUGGUGUGGAUUCUGGGCUAGAGCAGUGCCUUAGGCAAGCCAAAUUCUGCAGUUUGAUACCAGUAAACAAUAUGAUCUCUCUUUGUGUUUAUGUGGAUGUGCUGGAGUGGAAUGAAGGGAGGAUAACUUCAAAUGACAGUUGCCACAGCUGAAGAGAUGCUUUCACUCAUGAAACAAAUAAGCAAGCAGGAUGCCAUCCAUGAAGAUGAUGCUUCUGACUCACUGUAAAAAUAAAAAAAUACGUAUACUAUGAGGUGUUUCCUCUUUAUUGACAUCUACCUGAUCAGCCCAUUUGUGACCAACAAAUGCAAUUAUGAGGUGAGACAGCUGAUGGAGAAAGAGGUGAGAUGCCAGUAAGACGGGA
rnacentral:lncRNA from 1 species